GUCCCUAAAGGGUCGUCGGAGACUACGACGUUGAUAGGCCAGGAGUGGAAGCGUGGUAACACGUGCAGCUUACUGGUACUAAUUGCCCGUGAGGCUUGACCGU
rnacentral:ncRNA from 1 species